AUUGAACGCUGGCGGCAUGCCUUACACAUGCAAGUCGAACGGCAGCACGGGAGCAAUCCUGGUGGCGAGUGGCGAACGGGUGAGUAAUAUAUCGGAACGUGCCCAGUCGUGGGGGAUAACGCAGCGAAAGCUGUGCUAAUACCGCAUACGAUCCAUGGAUGAAAGCGGGGGAUCGCAAGACCUCGCGCGAUUGGAGCGGCCGAUAUCAGAUUAGCUAGUUGGUGGGGUAAAAGCCCACCAAGGCGACGAUCUGUAGCUGGUCUGAGAGGACGACCAGCCACACUGGAACUGAGACACGGUCCAGACUCCUACGGGAGGCAGCAGUGGGGAAUUUUGGACAAUGGGCGCAAGCCUGAUCCAGCAAUGCCGCGUGCAGGAUGAAGGCCUUCGGGUUGUAAACUGCUUUUGUACGGAACGAAACGGCGAGCUCUAAUAAAGUUUGCUAAUGACGGUACCGUAAGAAUAAGCACCGGCUAACUACGUGCCAGCCGCCGCGGUAAAAC
rnacentral:rRNA from 1 species